GCCAGGCAUGGUGGUGCAUGCCUGUAAUCCCAGUGGCUAGGGAGGCUGAGACAGGAGGAUUGUGAGUUCAAAGCCAGCCUCAGUAAUUGAGGGGCCCUUAGCAACUCAGUGCGACCCUGUCUCAA
rnacentral:sRNA from 1 species